AGAGUUUGAUUAUGGCUCAGAUUGAACGCUGGCGGCAGGCCUAACACAUGCAAGUCGAGCGGUAGAGAGAAGCUUGCUUCUCUUGAGAGCGGCGGACGGGUGAGUAAUGCCUAGGAAUCUGCCUGGUAGUGGGGGAUAACGUUCGGAAACGGACGCUAAUACCGCAUACGUCCUACGGGAGAAAGCAGGGGACCUUCGGGCCUUGCGCUAUCAGAUGAGCCUAGGUCGGAUUAGCUAGUUGGUGAGGUAAUGGCUCACCAAGGCGACGAUCCGUAACUGGUCUGAGAGGAUGAUCAGUCACACUGGAACUGAGACACGGUCCAGACUCCUACGGGAGGCAGCAGUGGGGAAUAUUGCGCAAUGGGCGAAAGCCUGACGCAGCGACGCCGCGUGGGGGAUGACGGCCUUCGGGUUGUAAACCUCUUUCGACCGGGACGAAGCGCAAGUGACGGUACCGGUAGAAGAAGCACCGGCUAACUUCGUGCCAGCAGCCGCGGUAAU
rnacentral:rRNA from 1 species